rnacentral:lncRNA from 1 species
CCUUGCCGCAAGAAACAUCUCAAUGCCUCCCUUCCCUUCCUUCUUGAUCCCAACACCCCCCACUUCUCUGAUCUGAUAUGAUAGAGAGAGAGAUUAGAGAGAGAGGAAGAGAAAAAGAAAAAAAUUUCUUCAUCUCUUCAUGGUGUCCUAUUUAGAUCUCAUCAGAUUGGUGCGAAAGGUUCGUACUGCAGCCCUGUUCUUCGAAAUCUAAAAGAAGUCCAAAUCCAACUCAAAGAGCGAGGCCUGCAAGGUGCUAGCACUCUGAUAGCCUCGGUGCUUCGAUCAGACCAUCUCCAUGUGGAUACCAGCAGAGACCGAAUGCUUAUGCGGUCCGACAGAAACCCCGGACAUCCAUUGGAUCUGAUCCGAGUAAAAAAAAAAGGAUAGCGAUUAAGGUAAUCAUUCUUUCUUUUCUGUUUUAAUUUUCAGAUCUGAAAUAUUUGUUUCAUGGCAUGCUAAAUGAUCCCUAGGUGAUCGUAGGAUUAGAUCCGAGUAUGAAUAAAAUUAAAAUUAUUUUAAUUUUAUCUUUCUGCUAUAUAUUUUUUUAAGAAAAAAAUCUGCAUGCUUAUCACCUAGAACACCAAUAGUGGUAUCAGAGCCACAUAUUUUUUAACAUGUAUAAAAUAAAUUCAGAUCUGAUUUUUCUUUAGAUCUGAAAGUUAGUUUCAGAUUUAGAUUAAUUUAUUCUGAUUUAAAUAAGAUUUGAAAUCAGAUUUCAUGUAUAUGAUACAUAGAUCUGCAUUUUACAUGCAUAUGUGAUAUGUUAGUAUGGAAUUAAAAACCUAAUAGCCUAAUCAGGGUUCGCCGUACCGGGCCGAACCGCCCGAUACGGGGCGUACCGAGCCGGACCGGUGCUCAAACGGUCCGGUUCGGACCUUUUUUUCGAGAAACAGCCCGAACCGGUACCGAACCGAGUGGUUCGGUCCGGUUUGCUUCCAUACCGUCCAAAACCGGACGGUAUGGUCCAGUUUGGUCCGGUUCGGUGUGAACCGAACCGUACC